rnacentral:rRNA from 1 species
GUGCCAGCCACCGCGGUUAUACGAGAGGCCCAAAUUGAUGAAAAACGGCGUAAAGCGUGGUUAAGAAAAGAGAGAAAAUACGGCCGAACAGCUUCAAAGCAGUUAUACGCAUCCGAAGUCACGAAGAACAAUCACGAAAGUUGCCCUAAAACCUCUGAUUCCACGAAAGCCAUAAAACAAACUGGGAU